rfam:Myotis brandtii contig154889, whole genome shotgun sequence.
GGUGGUUCUCAGGUGAUGCACCCCAGAAUCAGUCUCCCUCCUUUCUGGUUCUGAGAUGCUUUAGCCGAGAACCUCC